AGCUAUACUGCUAGCUUGGCAACCAAUUCUUUCAUGUGCUCAGACUGCAGUCACUCAGAAACUGCCCAAGAGUUAAACAGACGUGGGACAGAAACUCUCAGAUGUAAUGAGAGCAGUAGGAAUAGUAACAUAAUUAUUCAACAAAAAUUAUACUUUUGUAAGCACUUGCUUAGAGGAUUGCAAUACUUUUCCUUAACAUGAUAAGAACUAAAUCUCUCUUUUAGUCAUUUUCUAUUUCCAACAAUGCAGUCUUAGUCUGCUGGUUCUUAAGUUGCUGGAGUGACAAAAUAAGAAGUUGUAGCUAAAUGUGUGGUUACACAAGGAAUUGUUCUUGUGGCAGAAAACACUUUCUGGAAUCUCUCAGAGCUCCUCCAUCUGCAUGGACAAUUUAUCAGUUCGUAUGCUGCUUGUGUUUGUCAACCACUCUUAAAGCUCUGCAGUUUGCAUUCUUGUAAUAGUUUUAGCUUCAAGUGCCUACAGCCUGGAACAUUUGGCUAUGUCAGUAUUUGUAAUCUCAACAUGUCUGGGAAUAUCCUCCUGCACUGAGACCAAAUGACCCAGAAUAGCCCAUGUCCAACUGCCGGACUUGUUCGAUCUCCAAUAAAGGAUGCCUGCUUCCAAACUGCCUGCAGAGAAUAUUCACUAUUUGCAAUGAAUGUUGUGAAACUCCAGCAACUACAGCUUCACUGUUUGCAUGGGCCAGCCAGCAUGAAUUUCACUGAGGCCAUUGAAGUGUUCUUAAGACAAAAGUCAGAAAUGGAGAUGCUUGGCAGAGAGUGAAACAAAGUACUGCCUCUGUCCUGCUUUUGGUAACUGUUGGUGGCUUUCAAGUCCAAAUAUCUGUGAGUACCUUUCAGAAUGGAUAUUCCAGGUGGUUGAGAGAAGGGAUAGUUUUUUAAAUGGUUGCACCUGGAGACUAAGUGUUUCCAUCCUGGUAUUCAUUUAAAAAAAAAAAAUGAGGUGAAAAUGCUAAUUAUGAAAAUACCUUGUUUUGUAUAAAAAGCAGUAAGAGCCCAAGGCUCAGACCAUCAAAAGUGUCUAGUUUCCUACAUCUUCCUCAAAUGUUUUUUGAGUCGGGAACCAAAAUGCCUGUAAGUAUGUGGAUGGAUGAGGAUGAAGGAGCUCUGAUCAUUAUUGCAACAUGAUAUUUCUCUAUAUUCUCUGUAUGUAAAAGUUUGAGUGAAUCAUAGAAUCACAGAAUCACAAGGUUGGAAAAGACCUACAAGAUCAUCUAGUCCAACCUUCCUCCCAUUACCAUUGCUACCACAAUGCUUGUAAUGGACUCUAUAAAUUCCUGGCAACACAGGGGAAAAAGAAAACAUGAAACUUGUUGUAUUUAUUUAUUUAUUAUCUCCUUCUAUGGAACAGUAAUGUCUGGUGUUGCAAAGUCCUCUCAGUGCCCCAGUGUAAUGGUUAUCCAGGGGACAAACAGGGAAUGUGACAGCUUCUUUUGUUAUCUCUUAUAAUCCUCUGGGAGUCUAAAUCAAGAAGGCUCAAGAGGAAAUCACAGUAGAUUUUCACAGAUAGAGAGGGAUUAGGCAGCUCAAUGACAAAGCGAGAUGCAUUUGUAUCAAGGUAAGUCAGGCAAGUUAAGAGAAAAAAAAACAACACAUAUAGACACUGGUUCAACUUUCAUAGUCAGAUCUAGGUCAAAACAUGAACUUCUUUCAUGUAGUGAUUCAGAGAUCUGUUGUUUCUCUCAAACUCUGAACCUAUAAUGGAUUUUUUUUGUUCCUGCAGAUUUUCAGAGUAGAUGGGUCCAUAGAUCUUUGGUCUUCUGAUUUUCAGACUGAAAAUACUUGGACUUCCGUGUAGUACAUUCAAACCUGAUUUGUUUUCUCGUAAUUAAAGGUCAUGCAUCUUUUUAAAUACUUUCUGGAUGUUGCAGAAUGAAAAACGUUUUUCCAGCUCACUGCCUCCUGGCAGUCCUGGUAUCAGGAUGUUGGUACGGAUAUAUUCUUAUCUGAUCGUUUCAGUACAAUCUCUUUAAACUGAAGGCCAUACAACCUGUUAAAGCAGCUCCAGUCUGUAAGAAAACUCUUCAGGUGCAAGUGUUACAAGUUUUCCUCAGGGUUUGUGAUAUAUGGGUCAAUUUAAGACAUACUGAGAGGCAGGGAACUUGGUAGCUUCUUUUUUCAUAUUCUGGAAUAAGCCUUUGGGGGGUGUUUAAAAUAAGAAUGAAUUAUACUCCAGUUUUUACACAGGAGAGCAAAAGACUUUUCUUUCUCUAACUCCAGUGGGACUGUGCUGACUUUGCAUUUGGUUUUAUCCCAUCUGAGUAUCAAGGCCUGAGAGAACAGAGGAUGAAUACUUGGCAUGACACGUUUCCUACUGUGAGAUUUCACACAUGGAACUAAAUUAACUAACUAAUGGGACAAACCACCCACGCAGAAUUAAACACAGACUCGUGGAGGCAUAGGAUAUCCAAGGCUGGACUAGACCGGACUGGACCGGACCACGCUUGAUACCACUCACUGAUAUCUCUCCUGAUAGAAUAGCUGCAUAUUUGAGGAUUAUGUAUGUUAGAUAUACUUCCUGUGGAAUUAAAACUUAAAAUUAUUUUCUGAAUAUGAAUCCCUAAAAAAUGGAAAAAUAAACCUAAAAUGAAUUAAGGGAAUUAAGAUGUACAUGAAGCUGUCAAUAAGAAUUAUUUUGUCAUUGAUUUUUUUUCUUUUGCACUUGCCUUUGUUUCAGAACUUUGAUGUACAAUUGUUGUCUCCAAAAAGAGAUGGCACAUUCAAUUAUAAGGAGGAAGGUUAUGCAAGCAAAAUUUCAAGGUUUGCUUUCAAACCGUUUUCACAGUUCAGUGAGUUGAGGAAGAACUUUUACAAUGCGUGGCAUUUAACACUGAUGUUAGAGAAAUGUGCUGGAGCAAUACCUUGCUGACAGUUCUAUGAAUUGUGUUCUUCCAUUUUACAGGUAGAGUUAUCUGUUGUUAGCUCAAAGAAAUAAAGAAAAAUGGAAAGUGAACUUUGAUAAACAUGUCUCUUUACCCUUGGAAUCAACAAAAAUGAGAGCUUGAAGAUCACCACGUAGUGCUAGCAGUCUGUGUUGGAUCACACAAACUGGCGAGUCUCACCUUCUUCUUCUAUGAUGUUCCUUCCUAAUCCUGCCCUGCAAUUCAUUUUGCAUUGCCUGUCGAGUUGCAAUGGAAUUCCCAUGAUGUUUUCACUGACUGCCUGGGCAGCAUCCAUCAGAGAAAUGGAGCAAGGAUAUGUUUCUACAGAAUAAAGCGGUCUGAAAUGUCCUGCUGUCACAGCACAAAAUCAAGAGCACCUCUUCAUCUUCCCUCGGGCCAACAAAAGGGGACAGGAUUUUCAGUGAAACCCAGAUGUUGCUGUGAGUAAAUGUGUGCAUUUAUUAACAGAUAAUAGUGGAGGACUGCAAUUUAUAUCUGCAGAAGCUGAAAUAAUUAAGGAGGGUUGGGUAUUAAUGGAUGUAUGUUUUGAACAAUCUCAAAAACUUCUUUGUGUGGAAAAUUAAGAUCCUUGCUGAUAUUGAAAUAUCUCAGAUUGUUGUAAACCCAUGUUUCUAAUAUUUUAACUGGGAAUCACUUUCAUGGUCCGGCACUGCUGAUGCUGCCCCUUCAGAAGCCAGAAAAUGUCAGAUAUCUCAGUAUUUUCAGGAUUGUUUUGUUCCCAUUCAGGCUGACAGACAAAAAGGAGGGUUCUGAGGGAAGCUCUUAUUUCCUCCCUUCCCAUCUCCCUUUGCUCUUGCAAUAGCACCAUUGUACAGCACCGUUAUGCCAAAUUUUUUACAUAGAGACAGACUCGCCUGUCCCACAUUGUCAUUUCGACACUGUUUUUAACAAAGAUGUAUUUUCUGAGGAUCAUGUUUGAGAAUAAAUGGCUUUGGGUCUAGCACUAGUAAAAGAAGAAAAGCAAAUCCAAAGAACCCACUCAUUGAGUUCAGAGUAGCUACAGGGCAAUGCUGCAUCUUGCUUUUUAGGUGAAAUCUGCAAUUUUGUUUAUCCAGAGCAAUCUGUAACAGCUCUAUGGUAAAGCUGCUUUGAGGUUUAGUUUUGAAGUUUACUGCUCCCAGUUUUCAUUUAUUCCAUCAUAAUACAUGCAUAAAACAUUUUUAUUAUGUGGAUAGUAAUUUGCAUGAGCACGAGGACUUUAGCUCAAAUGCUCAUGAACAAGACUGUUCUUCAGUCGGGUCAACUGGAAGUUAUUCUGCUUUACUACAGGGCUUUCAGUUAAUUAAAUUCAAAGAACCUGUUCAACUGCUAAGGCCUGUUAUACUCCAGAUAAGGAAAAAAAUACAUUUUUUCAUCAGUCUCUGGGGACAGACACUGCUGAUGCUCCUCCUGCUGUAGCCACAAUACAGUGGGCCACAAUACAAGUGAAAAGGAGGAAGAAUGUCCUGCCCAAAGUAUUUCAGUGGGACAUACACGUCUGUGAUGAACACAGAAAGGACUAUUCAGAUGCAUUGUGUUAUAUGGAAUGAACUACAUUUCUGAUCUUCUAAUGCAAUUAAUAUUGUGCUCUGCAAGUAAUGUAAUUAACACAGGAAAAGAGGAGUGAACUGCAUUUACAGUAGAAGUGAACUUUACCUAAAAUUAUCAUUUCAGAAAAUUGACUGUUCUUCUAACUGUUGGUAAUUAUUUUUUCCUUUUUUUUCUUGAGUUCCUCUUUAUUUGGAUAGGUAAUAAAAUUAGUUUUGAUCCUGCACACUGAAGGAGAAACCCUAGUGGCCACAUUCUGACUCUACUUGAACUAGUGUAGGAGCUCAUACGGAAAAUUAAGUGAAAAUCAAUUAACAGUUGCCCCGGGCAUUUGAAACAAAUGCCAGGAAUCCCUAAAUGUUUCUCAGUUCUGUAUAAAUCAUAGCUGACAAGUGGUGGUAUCUCUGCUUCCACUGAAAAUUUGCUUUGUUACAGUGAAAAUUCUUUUAUUAUAUAUAGUUGCUGAUGUACAUAUAUAUAUGUAUUAACCGUCUACAUUUUCUCAUGUGCAUCUUCCAUAAAUCUCCUUUUGAGUCUCUUCCAAAGAAACUAACCUAUGCUUUUGAAGAAAAGAUGACUACCUGGUUGAAGAAAAGGAGUAAUGGAGAACACAUUCUUCAAGAUAUUGGAUAGUAUUCACUGCACCAUCAGGAGAUAUCUUUGUUUGGUACAAAGUGCUAAAGCCUUAAAAGACUAAAGCCGAACAAUAAUGAAUAGAACUGAUUUCCCAUCUUUGGAUUCUAGAGUGCUGACAUGGGAGUUUGAAGACGGUGGAAGGAAUCUAUGGACUGUAUUUACUGAUGUAAUUCAAUAAUUAAAGAUAAUUGUACAAUUUCUCUUAAGCUUGUUGAAAUUCAAGUUUUCUUUUGCUUUAGGCACGACCCAAAAAAUGUAAUAAUAUUUACCAUACUACCUAAUUUAUGUAUGUCUUUAAAUAGUUUACAAAGUGAAUUGAUAAUACAAAAAGUACCCAAAAUCAGAGAGAGAAUUUGUACAGAUUUAUACAAAUCCACGAACUUGAAAAGCCUGCCUUUGUCUCAGAACUUCUAUCUUUGUUUCAAAGAGAGAAACUGGUACAUUACGUAGAUAGGAGAAAAGGAACUGAAGGGUAUAGAUAAAGGAGAAAUGAGCUUAAAGCCUAAGGAAGAGGAAAAAAAUAUAUAAUACAAUCGGAGUGAUCAGAGAUAAAGAACAAGAAAAAAUCAUCAAGAGAUUUUUCUUGAAAGAGGAGGUAGAAUGGAGAUGUAUUUUGUAGGCUACUCUGUUGGAUUAAAGAAGGCCUGAAAUGAAAAGGUAUGUGCAACAAAGGCGUGAGGCAGAUGGAAGGCUUCUCUUCUUAUUUCCUAAGGCUGAGGGCUUCCAGUCCUUUUUGCAUUUGGCUAAUUGCAAAGUCUGCAAUCUCAAAGGGUCACAAUCAUUUUCAGCUUUUGCUGGUGAGAGACACAAAGCAGACAACACUGCACGUUGCUCCUGCUAUAAUAAGAUGUCAUUUCAUCAGGAGGAGUAGACAAAAGGAUAGAUUUUCCUCUUUCCUCUUUUCCUCUGUUUUGCUUUGGGAUAUAACAUUCAGUUUCUCUCUCCAGUUUCCUACAACAUCACAAGGCCAGUUUUUGCUUUGAACUUCAGUAAUAUCAAGUACCUUCCAUGUAAAUGGUGCUUGAGAUAUAAGCGUAUUGCAUGGCCUCUGAGAAACCAAGACCACAUGGAAACUGUUCCCCCCCAAUUUCUGCCAAUAACAUCAGAUUUUGCAUUGCUUCCCCAACAAGAACUGCCCUGUAUCAGAGGCUAGCUUUGUGCAGGGGCUGAUGGUUCUGUAUAGUUUGUGUUUGUGAGCCAUCAAAGGCUUUGAGUGGGAGAGAGGAAACGAUGAAGGAAACCUGGAAUCUGUGCCCAUACUGUUGCAACCUUUCUGAGUUUACUUUAAGAAUCUUUAUCCAGCUCUUCAUCUUUUCACUUUGAUCACUGUAACAUCUCUUCACCUUGGUUUCUAGCUUUUUCCUUUCCCCACACCAUCAAUCUGCACAGAUGCUGCUUUUUCCAGUCAGAGCCUCUUUUGGCAUUUUUGCACUUUACCUCCAUCUUAUUUCUGAACUUCUGUUUCUCUUGUUGUCCCUCGGUGACUGUGUUUUUGCAUGCUGUAGAGAUACUCAAUGCUUUUUUUUUCUGUGCCAUGUCCUCAUUCUAUUCUAUGACCUCUUUUGUGCUGCCUGUACUCCAGGAGUGCUGAGACAAACAGGCUGGGACAGAACACAUCUCUGUGCUCUUCCUGGGAGCACAUUUUAUUCCAGAAAAUUUGUUCUGCUGGUCUCACCUAUAUUUCUUCAAUUGUUUAAUAUUAAGCACUUAUCCAGCAGCGUGAAUUACAAUUAUCAUGAAUUAUACAACAUGGCAGUUUCUGCCCUGCUUUGCUCUCAUUUACAUAACUGCUAGACUGUAAUCACAUUUUGUCUUCCAGACAGAAAUCUUCCAGACUUCUCCCAGGUUUAAUUGGAGGUGCUUUGUAAACCUUUGAUGGUUAAGGACACCAGAUUUUGGAGUGAAAUGCUGGUGUAUGUAUACCAUUUUCAGUUUUAUAAGAUUUAGACCUGACUUCAUGGCCACUCAUUGCAUCUUCCUGUUGGUGAGGGUUAUGGAUAAGGUGUGGGUAGUUAAAGAAGAGCAAAUGAAGCAUGCUAGUUCAUAGAGUUGGGGGAAGAAGCUGGUGCAAUUGUGAUUUUUCUUUUUGCAAGCAUCGUAGAGGCUGGCUUUCAGAUAAUGUAGAUGUGUGAGGAUGUGUUUUGUCUCAGGAAUCAAGCUGGAGUCCAAGUCUGACAUUCAUUACUGUGCUGUGCAUUACCACAACUCUAGAAAAUAUUCUUCCAGCAAUUUAAAUUUAAUAUUUCACAGUCACUUUCAAACAUCAUCAGGCUGGGUCAGUACUUUCCUUUUUGUCUUUAAGUUGUAAAAAUUUUAUCUUCUCUACCUAAUAAAACACAUGCUGCACUCAAAAAUCUCUCAUUCCUUCUUGCAAAGGUGACAUAGCGAAGCUGUACAUAUACCACUCUUGGUAUCAAAUGUAAUUAUUGAUGUAAGGAACGUAUCAGCCCUGGCCUGUGUGAUGCUGCUAUUUCAUCUGCAGGCAUCCUUCUCCAAGCCAUAUAAACACACUGCUCCAGUGUUGUGCUUUCUUCAGCCCUUAGUUGACUGUAUAACAUUUUUGAAUGAGUUGUGUUUUGUACAUAGCCCGUGAAAUCAGUUUGUGCAGCAAUUGGUUGCUUUCCAGAAGAGUGCUGUAUGAGUGUAAGUCAUUAAUGUCGUCAUUAUCCAAGGAAAAGGAUGAAAAUAUGCAGAUAUAUUUCUUAGUGUAGAUGUAAUUAUAGCAUUUUGCAAGACUAUUUAAAUAGUACUUAUUUGGCAUAGUGGUUGCUAUUUAGUUUUAAGCAAGAUGAAAGGUAGAUCAUUUUUGCUUAUUUUUGUUCCAUUUUAAUGCAGUGCUAUUAAACUAAGCAAAUUUCAGAUUGGAGAGAGGGAAGUAAUAGGAUGAUUUGAAAAACAGCAAUGAAAGAGAAUGAAAAAUGAAAAUAAUUGUUGUUUUUUAGAGAUAAAAUUAACGUCGCAAACAGCAGUAAAACCAUAACUGCCUCUAACUUUUUCAUCUGCUUCUAUCUUUUUCAUCUUGAGAUCCCAGAAGCUUGAAAGCACAAAAGAAACAGCUUGUGGAAAAUCUGUGAAGUCCAUCUAUUUCUACAAUAGGAUUAUUCAUCACCACAUGUUUUCCCCAUCUGGAAGUAAAGGGACAAAAUGCUGAAACCACCACCGUCUCACUUGCAAAUUGCUCCACAGUCUAACCAGUCAUGCUAUUGAGAAGAUAUGCCUGCAGUUCAACCCAAAUUGUCUGUAAUCAUGUUGCUUCCUUUCCCUUGUUAUCCUGAGUAGUUCCUCCCCACCCAUAUGUUUAACCUCUCUGAAAUAUUUGUGGAUGGCAAUCAGAUCCCUCUGAGUCACUGCUUAGCUAAGCUGUAUGCAUUUUCAGCAUCCUUCUUUUCUUGUGUAAAUCUUCUCAGAUAUUUAACCAUUUUUCUCCACUUUCCUGUGAAAUCCUCAGCAUUCACUGAAGACGUUAGAAUGAUUACCCCUGGCUGAACAUGGGAACGGAACAUGAGCCUUACACAGAUGGUCCCCUUAGUGGCCUGGGUUCAAGUGCAGUGGGUUGAGGUGCUCAAACACUCCUUUACCACGCUUGGAACUCCUGCUCUAUAAAUCAGGGCUAUACAGUCUGGGGAGUACUGGAACUGUACAGUUGGGGGAAAGUCCCAGCUUUGCUCCACCUGGACUGUGACCACAAUGGAAAAUUUUCUGGUUAAAGUCAAUUAUUUUGCUGCCGAAAGGUAAGGCUUCUACAGCGGCCUGUGUGUGGCUGGGGCUAUGCUACGAACAGUUCUUAGCUACAAAGAGAGGUAAAGUUCUCACUCUGUACAGCCAUGUCCACACUCUUACUAGCUGCAGCAUAGUCCAACUUAAUCACAUGGAGCAGUGCAAACAGUGUGAAGGAAUACCAUCUUCCAGAUUUCAGAGGUAAAACCAAUGCUUAGAUUAUUGGAUUGACCAAGCAUGAUAAUUAGACACACGGAGUUUUCUAAUUUUCCACUUAUUUACCACUGCAAUUUGGAAAAACAGUUGGGAAAUGUGAAACAUUCCAUGGGAUGGGAUGUUUGUAGUAUCUUUCCUCAGAAGAACGUGUGUAACAUGGUGUGUUUUAAUAAAUACUGCAGUCAGGGAACUGACUCUUGGCCAAAGCAGGAGCCUGGGAAGACAGAAAUAUUUGCAGCUGGUCAGUGCUUUCCACCUCUCCCUUCCCACUGAGGCCAGCGACCAAAAAGCCAUCCAUCCUGAGUGCUAAGGCGUGCUGGCCUCCCUGCCUACUUUCUAUCAACAGUUUUGACAGGUCCUCACUGAUUGUUGUUAUGAAAUCAAAUCUAUAUUUACAGCCAGAAAAUGCCUGUCAAAAUAUAUCUUUAACAACCUGAAAUUUAAUUCUUCAGCCGUCUCUAUAGUAGGCAUGUCCAUUACAGGAAAUCUUUCCUUCCUCUUUCCAUUAAAAUAUUUUCAAUUUGGCAUGCCAAAAAAGCUGUAUCUCAAAGAGGAAAAAAAAAAUAGUCUUUAGUAGAGCAAGAAGAUUUACAAAAUCAUUUAUUACCUUUGGUUUCCAAACUAAUCUUAGAAUGAGAGAGAGUAGUGCUAAAAUGCCUAAGCAAAGUGGGGAGAUCAUAGGACCACAUAACCUACUCAGGCUUAAAUAAUAGUAGCAGUAAUAAUAGUAGUAAUAAUAAUAGUAGCAAUAAUAAUAAUAGUAAUAAUAAUAAUAAUGGUAAUAAAAUAGAUGAGCUAAGUGAUUUGAUAUCUGAGCUUAUUAUGUGACAAGUGAUUGAAACUACAUAAGAGGAAAAGGACUGUAUGAAAAAUUAAAACUGGCAACACUGGUAAGACUGUGUGUCAGGAGAAGUAAUUGCAGGAAACUUCUGCAGUGCACAUUAAGACCACCCAGCUCCUCUGUGCUGGCAAGGUAGCAGAAUCUGAUAAGCUACUUGAAGAACACAUUACUGAAAAUCAGCAUGUCUAUUUAAUUGGCCUACAUUUCAUAGAGUUCAUAGCUCUCAUAAGAAGAGCUAAUGUCUCUCGUGUUUCUGCUUUGUUUAUAUCAGGAACUGCAGCCAAGUUCUUGCUUCUAGCUUUGCUUAGAGUUUCUCAUGGAUCUGGGGAGAGUGUCCUGCCAGUGACAGAUUGAGACUGAGUGUAAUUGGGGAUGCAGGAAGCUCUGUUGCUGUGUUUUGCACAUGUUCAACAAACUCAGCUUCCUUCUUGCGGUGAGGAGUACUCAAGAUGUGGUCUUAUCAGUGUCAAGCAUUGAGGGACAAGCAGAACAAUUCAAAGGCUAUGACUAUCCUUGAGACCUUGUAGCACCUGCACCUACAGAAACUGUCCACAGAGGCCUUACCGGACCAUGUUUUAUUGUCAUUGUUUCUGGGCAAAGGUUUUAUAAUGCAGCAGUGGAGUCCAUCUUGCUGAAGCAAUGGAGACAGAUAGUGAUGGAGCUGCCAGAACAACCUGUAAAUUAUCUGCCCUAAAAUCCUCAAAGAGCACUUUGUGCUGAAAAGAAGGCUGUUCAAGGCAGGAGGGGAAGAAUUUGAUCUUGCCUACAUUUGUUGUACAGGAACAGAAAGGAGGAGUGCUUUAUUCAUCAAGUGAACACAGCACUUUAAAAAUUCAACUAAGUCAAUAUAGGAAUACGUUUAAAAUGUAUUCACCUUCAGAGAGAGAUUUCCUGGACUGACAGAACUGCCAAUGGGUAUGAGUUAUUGCUUAGCAAAAGUUGCUGCAAAGGAUGCUGUACCCAUCACCUCUGUGAAGGGGUCUUAUGUGGAACAAGCUGCUAAGAAAGUUAUGGCCAACAGAAGUUCUGCCUUUGACUGGUGCUUUGGUAACUACCUGUGGGGAUAGUCUGCUGUUAUUCUAUUUUUCUUCCUUCUUUGUCAGAGAAAAUGGCAGUCUGGUGACAGUGUUCUUGAGAAUAGCAACUUCAUUCUACCAGGUUCUGCUGGUAGAGUAGAAGUGGAAAGUCCUGCCUGAGAAUGUGCAUUGUAGAAUCACUGCUCCCAAAGCUGGCAGCUCUGCCAAAACCCAGAACAUGAGUGCUUUGGGGAUGCCCUGGUAGAAACUUAGGUCAGUGCUGGCCUUGGGCCAUCCAGAGUAAGAUGUGAACUGCCUGGACUACGGCAUUACUGGGCAGAAAGAGUGUCUGAUCCCUUCAUGAUUUCAACUUCAGAUUUGCACACCUUAUAUUUACCUCUGAGUACUUUGUAGCACAGUUUGAUAUUUAUGCUUUGACUUUAAUUCAGAAAGAAUCUGGAGAGGAAUAAGAGAGAGGCUAAAAAUGUGCAAGACAAAAAAUACAUGUGUGAUUUCUGAAAUCUGACAGUGUUUAGGAGGGGAAAUAGAAGCUACACUGUUGAUUAUUUUACUUUAUUCUCCCAAUUGAAUGUGAUUUUUUUUGUUUUGUUAUUUUUUAUUUUUCUUUCUAUGCUAUGUAUGGAUGAUACCAGGCCAGUUCCUACCCAAAGGCUUGCUUAAGUGCUUUCAAUCUUACUUGCUUACCUUGCAUCUACAGUAACAAGGAUUCAGUUGUGAGUAAGCCUCAGCAUGUUACUUUAGUUCAAAUGAUUUCUAACUGGAAUAUCAGUGAAUCUUUACCUUCAGGUCAUCCGUGCUCUUUUGUAAGAAUGAAUUUCAGUAGCUUAAAAAUGCUCAGAGUUUGUGAAUGACAAUGAUAACUCACUGCUAUGAAACUUCCUGUAAGUGUGCACCCAUCUCCCUAAAUAAGUAGAAAUGGGUUUCAAAUAACAGGCUCUUCUGUUUAUAAGAGUGGUAAUUAGAAGUGCAUUAAGGAAACCCUCAUUUCAGAAGCAGGCGUAUUAUAUCUAUGAAGUUUCCUGCUUUUUUCCUUUUCUAUAUAUGUUUGAGGCUCCUGAUUGUCUAAUGAGAUUAGGGUAAAUUUGAAAUUAAUUGUAUCUUGUAUAUGUUUUUGAAAUAACAGGCAUAAAGCUACAUUAACUUGUUUCCAUUUGUGAAAGCAGCCUGUUUUCCUUGGUACGUAAGUAACUUCAUGGUUACUAAAGUCUUACUUAUACCCUUUGAAUUGUAUGAGCAAACCUUUCUCUAUUUUAUGUGUUCAUGAAGAUAUUGAAGAAAUAUCAGCAGCUUUGUAUGCAAGUAGAUGAGUGAAGUUGGCAUUUAAACUCUUGAAAAUUACAUAACAGCUACUAGUGUUAAGAAAUUAUAGAUAUGAUGAAGGAAGAGCUGUGAAUUUACAUUUAGAAAUUAACCCAGCUGGGUUUUGUGUGUGAGUGAAAGGUGAAGGAGAGAUAUUUUUAAAAGCUAUUAUUGUGCAUCAGCAAGGUGUGUGUCAUUAACUAAUUAUUUUGAGAAUGCCUUACUAAGACAGUGGUGGUAAUUAGUCUUUAGAUUUGUAGAAGGAAUGUGAUAUUCCUUUUAAUUGGGAAAGUUUUCCUGCCUCUGGGCACGCGCCCUGAAGUGGAGAGGGGGGGAGAGUAGAGGAGAAGGGAAAGUAGGAGGGGAGUGGAGGGAAGAGGUGAGGAAGGAAGGAGACUCAGUGGACUUUAAGAAUUGUCCAUCCUUUUCCAAAAUAGUCAGCAGUGCUACUGAAAAGCCUUCCUUCUGAAUGAUAUUAUCCUAUCCUAACAUUACUUUGAAGUUUUCUACCCCUAGAUGAAUUCUACAUUCAUUAAUGUCAGCAAGCCUUUUUUUUUUUCUGGACUAUUGAGGCCAUCUUUCCUGCAAAUGACCUUAACAGCUGCAAAGAGAAAAGAUAUGAUAACAUUACAUUAAAACACACACUAUGGUAGUUCUCUGAAAAUUUGGAGAUUUUGUUAGGUUUCUGGCUGAGUUUAUGAAUUUACUGUAUGCAAAGCUGCAAUGGAUUUUUCAGUUCCCUCCACUAGUUCCCCCAAGCCUCAGGUUAUGAGAGAAGAGCCAAAAAUGCAGGGCAAUGUUAAUUAUAGGAUAGCCAGAGGCAUUAUGUUCCCUCUUCCAAGCUGUUCUCAACAGUGACUUAUUGCCUCACUUCAGAGAACAAAUUAAGAUGCUCUGCAAUGAUGGAUCCCAAAAACUUGUUUGUCCUGAGAACCAAGGAAGAGAAAAAGGUGUGGCAAUCAGUGAAUGCACCAGAACACGUGAAGCUAGGGGGAUGUGAAAAUAUAAUGCUGAAAUACCCAGUCUAUCUUUCCUUCUCUGCCCUAACCUACAGGAGAAAUAAAAUCAGUUAUAUGUUUUGACUUUCUGUGAAAUAGAGGGAGCAUUAGACCUUCUGCAUUCAAGGGGGGAACCAUGGACAUAAGAAUAGCUGUUUAUCUUCAUUUGUGGUCUUGGAGAUGAAUAAGGAAUGAGUGACGAUGUGUAUUCACUACUGAGUACAUAACACAACUGUUCGAGAGAAGAUGCAGGUUUCCAAAAUCUACCAGCUGCCAUGCACUGGGCUAGUUUGGCAACGUCCAUCUUACCACUCGUGAAAGUAGGCCUUCGCAUAUUUGUGUAAUUCAGCAAAGGAUGUGGUCAAAUUAUUGCCUUUGUCUCUUUUUAUUCUGAAUUACCUCAAGAACUAAGGUCAAAUAAGGAAAAACUAUCCCACAGCAAAAGAGAGAAGAAGCAAAGACAUGCUGGUUAGCUUCUCACUGUCUGCUAAACUGCAUGAAGUCUACUUGAAAUCUCUGAUCUACACUAACAUACCAACUUAAAAAAAAUCCACAAAUGCUAUACCCUGCAACUAGAUAAGUAGGCAGCUGGGUUAAACUUGUAGAUAGUGAGUCAGGCUCCUCAGAUUCUGGGGAAGACUGAAGAUGAGAGGAAGCAGAGUAACUGCUGGCCCUUUGGUAUGGAACACAGGCAAAGUCAGGGGACAACAAUGGCAAAAGUUCCCUGGUCUAUGGGGUAUUUGGGACGUGAAUCCCCUUCCUGAGGGUGAAAGUGGUGCCUGAAAGAGUCAUGUACAGAGGUCAGUGCGUUAGGCUGGUGAGUGUCCAGGAGGAAACACUCCUGGAGGACAGCAAUACAAUAAGUUUAAGAAAAAAAAAAGGCCAGAACAUAAAUUCUUGCCACCCUUUAAAAUUUAACAAUAUUAAGCAUAAUCAUUUGGCAGUUCACUUAAUCUCAGUGGCAAAAAUAACUGGUUAUACGUUAUUAUUGAAGAUUAAAAUCUUAAAUCUUCCAUCAAGGCGGGGAGGGAGCAGGAGGUGCUAGAUAUGACUUUUGUCAUAUCAGGACCCUAAUGAAUUCUGCAAAAAAAGAAUUCUUAUGAAAUAUCCUUUCCAUUCAGCUAUUAUCUUUGGCUGUAGCAAUUACUCAUUUGCUCUAAACUGAAAUCCAACAACAUGAAGCACAGCUAUUCUCUUUCAAACUAAAAUCAGUAUUGGCAGGAUGACUGAAACUAUUUGCUUCCAUUAAAGGCAAAAUAUGUCCUAAGUGGUCACAAGUGUGCCAUAUUCCUCAGCUGUCAGUGCCUAAUUUGAAAUAUUUAAUUUAAAACAUUUUUAAAGCAGGCUGGUUGUCUCUGUUGCUCUGAGCUUACAUCUCCUACAUUCUAUUUCCAAUACCUGCCCCCAGAUCCAUUGGCUGCUUCUGAUGUGCUAAUGCAUUUAGAAAUGUGACUUUCCUCAUCUAUGCUAGACAAAAAGUCUAAUGCAAGAUCAUGUUGGUGAGUUCAUUCUAGAACACCAUCUUCUCUGGCCUUUUGUUAUGGGAGAAGCAACAGGAAGGAAACUGAGCUCCAACUACUGCUCCAGUAUGGUCAGCAAGAUGCACAGGAGGGAAAUUCUGUACCCAGCUUGUGGAAGGUGGAGGACUCUGCCCUUGCCCUUGUUGAACUUCAUCAGGUUUCUCUCCUCCCAGCUCUCCAGUCUGUCCAGAUCUUGCAGAAGGGCAGAGCAUCCUUCUGGUGUGUCAGCCAUUCCUCCCAGCUUUGUAUCAGUUUCACACUGAUAAAAGGGUCAAUGUACACUGGCUAUUCUUAGCCACUUUUUUCAUAAUUUGCAUUUAAAAAGCUAUCACAUGUCUUUUAAUUCCCUUGUUAUACACCUGUAAAUUCUCACUGUAUGUUUUGCUGAUAUUUAUCACCAAUGAAAGUUCAUUCACCACAGAUCCCUCAUUUAGGAAAGGAAUAUAUGGGGGUAUUGUCUGAGCUCUAUCUUUCUUAAUGCCACAGUACAUGAAGAAAAUGAAGCAAAAUAAAAUAAAAUAAAAUAAAUAAAAUAAAAUAAAUAAAAUAAAUUGUUCCAAAGGUGGACCUUUAUUCAGAUGACUCCUAAAGUCUUACUUUAUGGCUUUAUUGUCCUUAUGUCUUUUGCAUUGUCCGACGUACAACUGAGGCAGAAUAGACACACCAUCC